GUGGGUAUAGCUCAGUGGUAGAGCAUGUGCUUAGCAUGCACAAGGUCCUGGGUUCAAUCCCCCGUACCCCCA
rfam:Camelus ferus unplaced genomic scaffold scaffold324, whole genome shotgun sequence.